AGGUAAAACUUGCUGCACAGCAUCUGAGGGAUGAAGCUGGUGCUUAACCAACGUCUGCCAAGCAGAAAUCCUGAUGGGAGCUUCCUCGAUGUAAAGGUGCUUAGGACUGUGCCAAAGCUCAGGACAUGCGCGUGAAGAGUUGGAGGAAUGACGGAGAGAAUGUUUACCUCAGAACUGCUAAGAGGUCACAGCUAUUAAAGUUGAGCUUCUGGAGUUCCCAUCGUGGCUCAGCAGUCACGAAACUGACCACUGUCCCUGAGGAUGUGGGUUCGAUCCCUGGCCUCGCUUAGAGGGUUAAAGAUCCGGCAUUGCGGUGAGCUGUGGUGUAGGUCACAGAUACAGCUCAGAUCCCACAUUGCUGUAGCUGUGGCUGUGGUGCAGGCCUCAGUUGCAGCUCCGAUUAGAUGCCUCGCCUGGGAACUUCUUUAUGCCACAGGUGGGGCCAUAAAAAGACAAAAAAAUAAAUAAAUAAAAAUAAAGUUGAGCUUCUACCAAAGAAGUAAAACCCUCCCUCACUGAGCCCGCCGUCUGCAGGCCCAGGUGAUCUUGGGAACAUUGCCAGGGAUCCUCCUUGACCUCCAGCAGGCGUCAAAUCGUGUGUAACACCCGGAGCCAAUGGGCACCCCGGAGAGGGAGUCAAAAGUCCUGGAUUCUGCCACCACCUGAGCCGCCACCAACUACAGAAAUGUGAGCAUUUCAGAGCAAGGCCACUAUGAAGGUCACUUCUAAAGUUCCAUCAAGACCCAACAGAGACUCACCGAGAGGCAGUCGCUGUAUUUCAUCCGUUCAAGGACACACAUUUCCUCACAUUCGACAUCUGGGAAACGGAGGCGCCUCUUACAGUCCGAGGCACCUUAGCUUACACAGUUCGGCUGCCCAUCUGACAAUCAGCACUUCUGUUUUGAUGAACUAUGGAAACUGUUCUUCAUGAAGUCCCUCGUCCAUGGAAAGGUUUCCCAGAGACCUAACUGCAGCACAGCACCCUCGGCAUGAGUGCAUGUUGUGGUGGGUCUUGGGGAUUCGCCAGACUGAGGGAGCUGCUCAAGGCCACCCGGUGGGUCAGCAGCAGAGCGGGAUUGUGCAAAGCCACACGGCUCCCUGAGAUACUGUAGCUGGGUCAGAAUCGUCCACCAGCCACAGCCAUGACCAGUGCAGAGGGGGUGAACGAGGUUCACAGAAGGACCGCGGCUUAAACCAGACUGUAAUGUAGGGACAGAGCAAGAGCGCCAGCACAGAGAAAGUCAGCACCAGCCCUGGGAAGAAGCUGCCCGAGGACUGUUAUCGUCCCCAGGCUCCAAACCUUGUAAACAUGGUCACAGGAACGAUCACUUAUAGCCCACACAUCAAGGAGUUGCCUGUAACUGGAUCCACGUCAAGCAUUUCCCCACGUCGUCUUAUUUAUGUCUCACAACAGCCCCCCAAAGUAAAUCUCAUUAUCCUUUAUUAGAAACUGUGGCCUCUACUGUUUAAGUUACCCCAGAUUACAGAUCUAGCAAGUAUCAGAACUGGACUUCAACUCUGCCUGGUCGGCUCCAGGAAGCACGGAACCCCUGGGCCACUUAAGCCCCCAUGGUCAAAGGAAGUGAGGAGACCAGAUGGCCUCUGAGGUCCUGUCCCUCAGAGGCAGUGGUCCUGCUUCCACAAGUAAGUAGCCAGUGGCACUGUGCUCAAUGAUUUGGGGUUGACAGUCCCUCAGAAAGUUAAAUGUAGAAUGACCACCUGAGCCAGCAAUGCCACUGCUGAGUGUAUACGCAUCCUAAAGAAUUGAAAGCAGGGACUCAGACAUUUGUAUAGUAAUGUUAGCAGCAUAAUUCACAAUAGCCAAAAAGAUGGAAAUAGACUAAAGAUCCAUCAACAGAGAAAUGCUUAAACAAAAUGUGGUGUGUAUAUAUAUAUAUAUAUAUACUCACACACACAUAUUAAAUAGUUUUCAGCCUUAAAAGGAAUGAAAUUUGGAUGUAUGCUACAACAUGGAUGAGUCUUGAAGACAUGAUACUAAGUGAAAUAAAUCAGACACAAAAAGAUAAAGACCA
ensembl:lncRNA